GUAAGGGAUCCUGGACAGGUCAUAAUCCGGUUGAUUAUUAUCCUGGGACUGAUCACAUAGAAUCUUGUUGCUGCCAAGGAAACUGCCACUGCUGAGGGGCCAAUUUGAUUUCUGUGACAAGAUGCUUAUCCAUUGUUACACCCAAUGAGAAAGAACCAACCAGAGACUGAUAUUAAAUCCACACAGGAAUUUAUUACUGGCCGGACCCCAGCCGAGCAUCGGACUCCAGCCCCCAGUCGGGGCUCGAUUAACAUAUUUUAUACACCUUUGAGGCCAACGGUUUCUAGGCCCCCCUAUGGGAUAGAACUAGCAAAGCAAGCAAAAGGAACAAUUCCACCUACCUCAAUAAUGACUGUGUAGUUUGACCAAAUAACAGAUGAAAAUUCUUGGCAUACAGUGGACAUUCAGCAAAUUACAUCUGUAUGGCCACUUCCAUGAGAUCCAGUCACAACGACUCCCAGGUCAGGGAGUGGGAGACGGGUAAGGAAGACCCUUCCACCAACGGCCAUCCAAGUGCCAAAGAGAACAGUGAGCCAGCAUGGAACGAUGCAAUGAGAUAAAAAUGCAUAAGAAAGACGCUUGGAAGGACUUCCAGGGCCCAGAGAGUGCAUGGCCGUGGGGCACUGAAAGAGGACAAGAGCGACUAGAGAUCCCCAAAGCCUAACAGCUGGUGCCCCGGAAACCCUCAAGGGGAAGGGUGGAAGGGGGUCUGUUGCCAAGC
rnacentral:lncRNA from 1 species